UCACAUAUGGGCCACAAAAUGCCCUUUACCCAAAUAAUGAUAGCAAAUCAGUCCUUCUGAUGAUGGUGCUCGCCAGUGGACCCAAGAAAACAAAGGGGUCUCCAGUAGGAGCAGCUUUGCUGGUACAUUAACUACUGGAAGUUGUCACAAAUAGAAUUUAAUUGCAAUAAAGUAAACAGACACAGCGAAGAAACAUUCAUCAGCGUUUAAUAGGCAAUGUACAACACCAUUUAUAAUACUAGGAGUUACCAAAGAGCACUUUUACUACAAUACCUUAGCAGACCUUUUGUGGAGAUUAAGGCAGACCAUGCUUGAGAAUUCAAAGAAGUGCAAAAUAGUUAAAAAGAUGGACUUGUUUGUAUCCUUUUCCCAAACACCAAACAUUGCGAAAGUAUUUCAGACUUUCCAGUGACACUUAAUGGUCAAUAAGCUUUUAGGCAAGCAAAGUUAGCUGAUUUCUUUGAAAUGGUGUUUCGAAUAGAAAAGGUUUUAUGGUCUUUCGCAAAUGAUCCAAGGUUUAGUUGAAAAUAAUUCUGCUCCUAAUGGUCCAUGCAAACUUUUCUCCCCAUUGCACCUUAAUCUGUACAACAGUUUUACGGCAAACGUUUCAUGGUGAGCAGAGGAUGGAGAGUGACCAGAGGAUGGAGAGUGACCAUGAGAGCAACGAUAAAUAUCGUUUCACAAAGCCCAUGUCCGCAAUCAAGUGUUCAGUGCUAUGGAAAGAGUCACCCUCGCCUCGUUCACAACGGGUACUGUGGCAACUGACUGCGCAUGCCUUCGAUUGGAAUCUCAUCCAGGUUUGCAACACAAUUGGUUCUCGAUUUUGGCAUCAAGCAGCCUGAAAAGAGUAUGCCUGGCUUGACGAACCUUACUUAUCACUGCUUCAUGAAAAACCAGUAAACUUUUCCCCAUUCAGAACAUACAUGAAUCAAUGCAAGAUAAAUGCUAGUAAAUAAUGGAGUAGUAAUAAUUUGGAUUACUGUUUCUCUACGAUAAGGUAAGGAACAAUUUGGAAACGUUAUGUAGAGCUCAAGAAGCAUCUUUUUUUAUUGUCCAAGUUUGUCAUCACUGGAAUACAAAAUAAACAAAAACGCAAAAACGGCGCUCAAACUAAUAUAGAAAAGUAUGUUAAAAUUCAGACAACGCGUUGAAAUUAGUUCUUCGAAACAAAAAAAUAGCUUUGAUAGAGAUAUAGCCCCCCCUUCCCCCCCCAAAAAAA